UACGGAGGGGGCUAGCGUUGUUCGGAAUUACUGGGCGUAAAGCGAGUGUAGGCGGUUUCCUAAGUCAGGUGUGAAAGCCCCGGGCUCAACCCGGGAAGUGCACUUGAAACUGGGAGGCUAGAGUAUCGGAGAGGUUGGUGGAAUUCUCGGUGUAGAGGUGAAAUUCGUAGAUAUCGAGAGGAACACCGGUGGCGAAGGCGGCCAACUGGACGAAUACUGACGCUGAGACUCGAAAGCGUGGGGAGCAAACAGG
rnacentral:rRNA from 1 species